GGCCCCCAAACUGCUAGGUCCGCCACUGCCGGCACGCUACCUGCCCCCGACACUCACUGGCUGAACAGCUGCCACAUGCCCCUCCCCCUCUCCUUCUGUCCCUGCCAGCCUGAUCAGAGCUGUAGGUGGCAAAUUCAUGAAGCAAUUUUUUUAAAUGGAGGCUUUUCUGUUCGUUUUAUCUCCAUAGCAACAAUUUUAUGUUUUUCUUGUCUCGUGUUGACGAACAGAUUUCAGACAUUCGUUGAAGAAUCAGCAGAAGUAAAUUUUUAGCUCUCCUUGGCAACGCUAGGUUUUGUUAACCACGCCCACAUUCCUAAUAUGUUCAUAUCGUAUAUCAUUUCACUCAGCUUUAGCCAAGGAAUCAUUAAAUGUUUACAAUAUUUCAGUAAAACAUGUGCGAGCAACAGGAAAACACCACUUUUGUGAGCUCACCAUGGUAACGCCCUUUAAAAUCUGCAAACUUCUACUCUCAUCAUUUAUUCCUGAGUAGUUUCUUAUUGAUGGUCGAGGAGUGAGGGGGCAAUACACUGAAAUUCAUAUACUGAUGCUCCUCCUCCCACCCUGCUGGAGCCUCAUCUUUUACAACUCUUCACCCCCUCUGCAUUAAGUGAGAUGCCUGCAGACGUUGCAGCUGGAAGGAACCUCCCAAUGUGAGGAAACAGCAUCUGUGGGGGCUUGAAUGACCAAUGUUCAGAGGUUUUUUAUGUGAAAAAAAAAUCAAAUGAGGUCUAGUGAUGAUACAUGUAGAUACAAAUAUUCAUGCAGUUCAUUUCAUGCUCCAUGUAGUAACAGGUGGAGCAAAGAUGUUCUGGACUCCCAUCCAGCACACCUAAGAAAAUGGACCAAUGCCUCCCACUGGUU